rnacentral:lncRNA from 1 species
GUAUGGAGAAAAACAUGGAGGUGUUGAAAUACACCAGUUGUAAUUCCCACAUCUCCUAGGAAAGUGGUGGAUCAGGAGGGCCUGGUGUGAAACGGCAGUCGAGGGCAAGAAAAACACAGAUUUUAUCCAACACUACGAUUGUGUCCCUGCGCUUGGAUGUGGAUCAUUGGUUUGUAAAAGGCACACCAGAGGGAAGAUGAAGAUCAAGUCUCUUGACCUUGCUAAAUGGAUGCAAAUAUAUGUUUGCAAAACAGCAAUGCUUUAGAUUUUGAUGAUAGAAGCUGUAAGUCAUAUCAGCACCAGGAGGAAAAGCACCCUACUCCAACUUCAUUGAUUAAUAAAGAAAAAAUCACUGGGUUCCAAGUUUGCACCUCAGAAGAAGAGAGGAAGAUUUUUGGAUAGUCUGGAGGGUCUUCCCCCAGCAGCAGGAGUUACCAUGCCUCUAAGGGAAGCACUUUAGAGUCUGUUGGAGGAGGAAAUCUUCCCUUUGCUGAUAGGCUGCCAGUAAAAUCGCCCCAAUGAUGGAAUCCUUCUCUAUUUCCUACAGGGGUUGCCCAGCAACAGAGCCCUUCUCCGAGCAGGUGCUGCCAUGUGCUGCUGCUGCCAAGGCAUGUGCAGCCCGUCUGGUACUUUUCCAUUCAAAAUAAAAUACCAGAUUCGUAACCGACA